AGGAAUUUACAAAACCAAGGAUCUCAAGAGUGAAAGGAAAUACAAGAAAACUUUACCAAUCUAAGCAGAUCAUGAACCGGCGAGUUUGUCAGCUGAUUU